UCAGAACGGUCGAUGGAUGAGCAAUUUCAUGAGUAAAUACAUAAAUUAGCAGGAGAAUCCAUAGAUCUCUGUAUCCCUUUUUGAGCGAAGAUUGAAGUAAUUUUCUGUUUCUGAUACACAGGGGAUCGAGCGAGAAGAAGGAAUGUUGUUUCGUUUACUGUAAUUCUUUUAUUGGGAGAAAAAAAAUUAUUUUUGUGUUGGACCGG
rnacentral:misc_RNA from 1 species